AAAAAGGUAAGCUAACUAAGCUACUGGGUUCAUACCCCAUUUAUAAAGGUUUUAUCCCUUUUCUUUUUA
rnacentral:tRNA from 1 species